rnacentral:tRNA from 1 species
UUAAUUGAAACCAAAAAGAGGUAUAUCACUGUUAAUGAUAAAAUUAAGUAUUCUUCAAUUAAA